CGCUCUUCGACCCUUUCCCGUCCACACCAGUGUCACAUACAACUCAGCCACCAUGUCUAAUCAACUCUUUGCAGCAAUGCAAGUAAUCAAAGCUGUUUUGAACAUGCUGGAGAUAACAACACUUUGACCAAAAAGGAACUUUGUAAGCUGCUUCAACAACAGUUUGGUACUGACCUUCUUCCAGCGUGCUGGGAUGCGUGCGUCGUACAUGCAGUCCAGGGCAUCCCGCAGGUUCUCGCUCAUGAUGAUGGUUCCGUCGAUUGCCAGCUUGAGGUCUGUGAGGGUGUUUCGGACCAGAACUAUGACCCUCUGCAUCCGAUCAAUCUCCUGACGCAGGAAAAUAUUCAUGGGCUGGAAUGGACCCAUCUUCAGGAGACGCUCUCUCACCUGGUUUCAUUAAAUCACAUGGAAGGAUGAUGGAAUUGCAAUACAUAGAUUUGUUAAAGGAACAUGUUCAAGCCGAGAAUCACUUGCCAUUUCAUGUAUACUUUCAUCCUGCAGGACAUAUAACUUAACAAACCAUUUCCAUGCUUCUGUCGGAACAAGGUCUCCUUUUUUAAGAGACAAUAGCUCGCUAUGUGAAAGAGCACAUAUCUAUCUUCAAAAUGAGCUACUGCUACGAGUGUAGAGCGAAAUUACCUUGGUUUUGAUUUCAUGGAAGCACAGGACAGUUUUUAUCCAUAAACACUGUGAGAAUAGCAACACAAUCCAGCACUGCUCUUUGUUUUAGCAUAUAAACAUUUGUAAUUAUAAACUUUAUUCAUUUUGGUGUGGACAGGGAUUCAGGUUGGGGGAAAUGUUGGGAACCAGUGAAUCAUAUACAAAAAAGAUUUUGUAUAAACCAUAACAGCUGUCAAAAAUCAGAGUUAGUCCAUUUACGUAUGUCUUAUGACCCAUUCAUGUAAACAUACUGUAUGUUCACACAGUGGGGGUUUUAUUAUUUUUAACAGUCACUUUAUAUUCAUUAACAUUGGACUAUUAUUAUUCUUUUGCAGAUUUUACAAUCACAAAUUGACAACCACUCCCCUCUGACUGUGACAUUGAACCCAUUUUGCAUGGCACACGUGUUUAUCCAGCAUGUCAUCAGCCAGCCUGGACACCACAGCCUCUCUGGUCUCCCCUCCACCCGAGGCGCUGUCUUUAGGCUGAAUACUGAGUAUGGUAUCCAGGACUUCCUUCGCCAGUUUACUCUGGUCCGUUUAAGCCCUGCUCUGAGGCCCUGAGGCGGUUCACUGGUGAACUUGAUUGACAUCUGCAGAAGGGUGAUAGGAAAGUGUCUGUGGACCUCUGUGGUCAUCCACAGCCGGAAGUUGCUGUGCACAAAGUCUGUAUCGGUCACUGUGUCCAUCAGCUCAUCCAUGAAGUCCAGACCCAGGUGGCAGUUCUGCAGUAAGGCCCAGCCACCCUGUGGACAAUCGGUCAUGUAAUCAGUAUCAUCCAAGUCAAGAGCCGCAAAAGAAAGUCAACAUUCUGUCUGGUCAGGACCUACCAGGUCGGUACUCCUCUCGCGCUGCAUUAAUCUGGAUUUCGGUCUCGGCAGCGAUUGAGAGUUUCUGAGUGACCUCCUCAGCUGUGUUUUUGGUGUUGCCAAGGACAACAAUCAGACUCUCAUCAUCCACCAGUGAACCCUACAAAGUGAGAGACAAGAUUUAAAAUCGAAGAACAAAAGAAGAUGCAAAGGCAGACAGACCUAAGGACAUGUUGUGUCAUUUUCUUAGACGUAAGUCCUUGCCUGUGUGCUGGUCAGUCUGUAGAAGAGGCUGUCCUCUAACUCCUUCAUCUUUCUCUUGUUGAUUAUCACAUCUUCCAAGAGGUCUGUUCUCGUCUUCUCCAGUUCCUGGGACAUGAGAUCAUUAAAAACAGAAGGGUUUACAUGGUAGAAGAGCAUGACAAACAAUGUUCUUACUUGCUGCCACAACAGAAAUUAGGCAAUUCGUCAACAAAUUAUGAAGAAUAUUGAGUUCAUGUAUAGAAUUUACGAUAGUUUCUUUUGCCUAUUGUUGUCAUAAUUAUUGUUGUUAUUUAUAUUAUAAGAAGAAAAGAACAAAAGCACAACGCAAGUGCGACUCUACCUGUUUUUCAGUGAGGAUGACUCUGCCCAGCAGCUGGUCCUCCAGCCCUCUCAUGGUGACGGUGAAGUCGAUGAUGGAGACUGUUCCAUAAUUGAACCCCUGAGAUUGAAACACACGUCUGCCAUGUUACCUUGUAAGUGGAGCCAGUUUUGAUGAAGUUUUUCUCAAGGAUGUUGUCGAGCGCAGGGUCCAGCUCCUCCCCUAUAUCCUCGAUCAAAAGUGGACGACCUAGAGACAAGCUGUCCUCCAGGUGGCUCUUGAAGUACUUGUGGUUCAUGGAGGUGAUCUGGGAUUAGAAAAAGGAAACUUCUGAAUAUAAUGUAAAAAUGAUCUGUAUGCAAUCUCAAAAUGCAAUACAGUGAUAAAUCUCUUCCUCGCUCUGUUUCUUUGAA